rnacentral:misc_RNA from 1 species
ACGGUAUGCCGCUUAUGCGCG